rnacentral:rRNA from 1 species
GUACAUCCAGAGAACUUGGCAGAGAUGCCUUGGUGCCUUCGGGAACUCUGAGACAGGUGCUGCAUGGCUGUCGUCAGCUCGUGUUGUGAAAUGUUGGGUUAAGUCCCGNAACGAGCGCAACCCCUAUCCUUUGUUGCCAGCGAUUCGGUCGGGAACUCAAAGGAGACUGCCGGUGAUAAACCGGAGGAAGGUGGGGAUGACGUCAAGUCAUCAUGGCCCUUACGAGUAGGGCUACACACGUGCUACAAUGGCGCAUACAAAGAGAAGCGACCUCGCGAGAGCAAGCGGACCUCAUAAAGUGCGUCGUAGUCCGGAUCGGAGUCUGCAACUCGACUCCGUGAAGUCGGAAUCGCUAGUAAUCGUAGAUCAGAAUGCUACGGUGAAUACGUUCCCGGGCCUUGUACACACCGCCCGUCACACCAUGGGAGUGGGUUGCAAAAGAAGUAGAUAGCUUAACCUUCGGGAGGGCGUUUACCACUUUGUGAUUCAUGACUGGGGUGAAGUCGUAACAAGGUAGGCGUAGCGAG